UACGAGGGGGCGAGCGUUGUUCGGAAUUAUUGGGCGUAAAGGGUGCGUAGGCGGUUCCGCAAGUCCUGUGUGAAAUCUUCGGGCUCAACUCGAAGUCUGCACGGGAAACUGCGGGGCUUGAGUGUGGGAGAGGUGAGUGGAAUUCCCGGUGUAGCGGUGAAUGCGUAGAUAUCGGGAGGAACACCUGUGGCGAAAGCGGCUCACUGGACCAUAACUGACGCUGAUGCACGAAAGCUGGGGGAGCAAACAGG
rnacentral:rRNA from 1 species